rnacentral:rRNA from 1 species
AACGAACGCUGGCGGCAUGCCUAACACAUGCAAGUCGAACGAACCCUUCGGGGUUAGUGGCGCACGGGUGCGUAACGCGUGGGAAUCUGCCCUUUGCUUCGGAAUAACAGUUAGAAAUGACUGCUAAUACCGGAUGAUGUCUUCGGACCAAAGAUUUAUCGGCAAGGGAUGAGCCCGCGUAGGAUUAGGUAGUUGGUGGGGUAAAGGCCUACCAAGCCGACGAUCCUUAGCUGGUCUGAGAGGAUGAUCAGCCACACUGGGACGGAGACACGGCCCAUACGCCAACGGGAGGCAGCAGUGGGGAAUAUUGCACAAUGGGUGCAAGCCUAAUCCAGCAAUGCCGCGUGAGUGAUGAAGGCCUUCGGGUCGUAAAGCUCUUUUACCAGGGAUGAUAAUGACAGUACCUGGAGAAUAAGCUCCGGCUAACUUCGUGCCAGCCGCCGCCGUAAAAC